rnacentral:lncRNA from 1 species
GGGCUAUAUUAUCCGCAUUUUACAACAUUUCGCAACGAGACUUUGGAAUAUUCCUAAUUUUGUGAUGCUAGCUCUUUCAAGCUGUGAUGAAAUUUUGGUCUAGACUUGUCUAGAUCAAAAUUUUAGUUACAGUAAGGGGAAAGAUCCAUUGGGUGAUGAAAAGUGCUGUUUCUUGGUGGUAAGGGCCCCCAGAAAAGCAGGAGAAACAACAUCAAGAUGAGAGAUCGUUUUGAGGAAGUUUUAACUACGGAUGUUGCGUCUUGUUAAUCCGCCAAAAAAGGGGUUUUAUAUAUAUAGAUAAAACCCGGUGAAUAUUCAAUCAUCAAUUCAAUUAAAUUGGCCUUUCUAAAGGGCCAAUUUUCCCGCCAUUUUUGGCUACUGCCUCUGCCACGUUUGAGA